CCCUUAGAUGUCCGGGGCCGCACGCGCGCUACACUGAAGGAAUCAGCGUGGCUUUCUCCCUGACCCGAAAGGGUUGGGAAACCCGUUGAAUCUCCUUCGUGAUAGGGAUUGGGGCUUGAAAUUGUUCCCCAUGAACGAGGAAUUCCCAGUAAGCGCGAGUCAUAAGCUCGCGUUGAUUACGUCCCUGCCCUUUGUACACACCGCCCGUCGCACCUACCGAUUGAAUGGUUCGGUGAAGAUCUCGGACUUCGAUAUUCAUUCUUUAUUGAGUUUAUAUUGUGGGAAGUUAUCUAAACCUCAUCAUUUAGAGGAAGGUGAAGUCGUAACA
rnacentral:rRNA from 1 species